AUGAACGCUGACAGAAUGCUUAACACAUGCAAGUCUACUUGAAUUUGGGUUUUUAACUUAGAUUUGGGUGGCGGACGGGUGAGUAACGCGUAAAGAACUUGCCUCACAGCUAGGGACAACAUUUAGAAAUGAAUGCUAAUACCUAAUAUUAUGAUAAUAGGGCAUCCUAUAAUUAUGAAAGCUAUAUGCGCUGUGAGAGAGCUUUGCGUCCCAUUAGCUAGUUGGAGAGGUAACGGCUCACCAAGGCGAUGAUGGGUAGCCGGCCUGAGAGGGUGAUCGGCCACAAGGGGACUGAGACACGGCCCUUACUCCUACGGGAGGCAGCAGUGGGGAAUAUUGGACAAUGGACCGAGAGUCUGAUCCAGCAAUUCUGUGUGCACGAUGAAGUUUUUCGGAAUGUAAAGUGCUUUCAGUUGGGAAGAAAGAAAUGACGGUACCAACAGAAGAAGUGACGGCUAAAUACGUGCCAGCAGCCGCGGUAAUACGUAUGUCACGAGCGUUAUCCGGAUUUAUUGGGCGUAAAGCGCGUCUAGGUGGUUAUAUAAGUCUGAUGUGAAAAUGCAGGGCUCAACUCUGUAUUGCGUUGGAAACUGUAUAACUAGAGUACUGGAGAGGUAAGCGGAACUACAAGUGUAGAGGUGAAAUUCGUAGAUAUUUGUAGGAAUGCCGAUGGGGAAGCCAGCUUACUGGACAGAUACUGACGCUGAAGCGCGAAAGCGUGGGUAGCAAACAGG
rnacentral:rRNA from 1 species